rnacentral:tRNA from 1 species
GGUGGCACAUUGGGUCAGUGCGUCUGGCUGUUAACCAGAAGGCUGGUGGUUUGAGCCAACCCAGGGAUG